GACGAACGCUGGCGGCGUGCUUAACACAUGCAAGUCGAACGGAAAGGCCCUGCUUUUGUGGGGUGCUCGAGUGGCGAACGGGUGAGUAACACGUGAGUAACCUGCCCUUGACUUUGGGAUAACUUCAGGAAACUGGGGCUAAUACCGGAUAGGAGCUCCUGCUGCAUGGUGGGGGUUGGAAAGUUUCGGCGGUUGGGGAUGGACUCGCGGGUUAUCAGCUUGUUGGUGGGGUAGUGGCUUACCAAGGCUUUGACGGGUAGCCGGCCUGAGAGGGUUACCGGCCACAUUGGGACUGAGAGACGGCCCAGACUCCUACGGGAGGCAGCAGUGGGGAAUAUUGCACAAUGGGCGGAAGCCUGAUGCAGCAACGCCGCGUGCGGGAUGACGGCCUUCGGGUUGUAAACCGCUUUCGCCUGUGACGAAGCGUGAGUGACGGUAAUGGGUAAAGAAGCACCGGCUAACUACGUG
rnacentral:rRNA from 1 species